ACGGGACUGCACUGGACCAUCUUUCCCGCCCUCCGAAGGCAGGGGUCGGACGUUCAAGUCGUCUCGGGCGUGCCA
rnacentral:tRNA from 1 species